rnacentral:lncRNA from 1 species
CUGAACCAGCCGCCGGAGCCGGAGUGGCGACCGGGUGCGGAGUGGGCAAAAAGCCACUGGGGGAGGCCAGUCCCGAUCAGUCCUUUCUGGCUCCAGCUCCAGAUCCCGUGCGGAGCAACAGCUGCGGUCGCAGUCUCCACCACCGCCUCCACCUCCAUCGCCGUCGGGGGAGGGGCCGGCCGGACCCCGGGGUCACUGCCGAGGAAUGAAGAGAGGCGGCCGGGCCCCGCGCUCCGCCCCGGCCUAGGGCCUUGCCCCGGGAGCCCGCGAGGUGCACCAACCUGUGGGGAAGUCUCA